GAUGAACGCUGGCGGCGUGCCUAAUACAUGCAGGUCGAGCGAACAGACGAGGAGCUUGCUCCUCUGACGUUAGCGGCGGACGGGUGAGUAACACGUGGAUAACCUACCUAUAAGACUGGGAUAACUUCGGGAAACCGGAGCUAAUACCGGAUAAUAUAUUGAACCGCAUGGUUCAAUAGUGAAAGACGGUUUUGCUGUCACUUAUAGAUGGAUCCGCGCCGCAUUAGCUAGUUGGUAAGGUAACGGCUUACCAAGGCAACGAUGCGUAGCCGACCUGAGAGGGUGAUCGGCCACACUGGAACUGAGACACGGUCCAGACUCCUACGGGAGGCAGCAGUAGGGAAUCUUCCGCAAUGGGCGAAAGCCUGACGGAGCAACGCCGCGUGAGCGAUGAAGGUCUUCGGAUCGUAAAACUCUGUUAUUAGGGAAGAACAAAUGUGUAAGUAACUAUGCACGUCUUGACGGUACCUAAUCAGAAAGCCACGGCUAACUACGUG
rnacentral:rRNA from 1 species